GGUGGUUCAGUGGUAGAAUGCUUGCCUUGCAUGCAUGAGGCCCUGGGUUCAAUUCCUCAGCACCA
rfam:Dipodomys ordii contig_83156, whole genome shotgun sequence.